GACGAACGCUGGCGGCGUGCUUAACACAUGCAAGUCGAACGGAAAGACCCUGCUGUUGUGUGGUGCUCGAGUGGCGAACGGGUGAGUAACACGUGAGUAACCUGCCCUUGACUUUGGGGUAACUUCAGGAAACUGGGGCUCAUACCGGAUAGGAGCUCCUGCUCCAUGGUGGUGGUUGGAAAGUUUGGGCGGUUGGGGAUGGACUCGCGGCUUAUCAGCUUGUUUGUGGGGUAGUGGCUUACCAAGGCUUUGACGGGUAGGCCGCCUGAGAGGGUGACCGGGGACAUUGGGCCUGAGGGACGGACCAGACGGCUAUGGGAGGCAACGGGGGAGAAUAUUGCACAACGGGGCGGAGUCUGAUGCAGAAACGCUGGGUGCGUGAUGACGGCCUGUGGGUUGUAAACCGCUUUCGCCUGUGACGAAGCGUGCGUGACGGUAAUGGGUAAAGAAGCACCGGCUAACUACGUG
rnacentral:rRNA from 1 species